UACGUAGGGCGCGAGCGUUGUCCGGAAUUAUUGGGCGUAAAGAGCUCGUAGGUGGUUGGUCGCGUCUGCCGUGAAAACCCAUGGCUUAACUGUGGGCUUGCGGUGGAUACGGGCCGACUUGAGGUAGGUAGGGGAGAAUGGAAUUCCCGGUGUAGCGGUGAAAUGCGCAGAUAUCGGGAGGAACAUCAGUGGCGAAGGCGGCCAUCUGGGACAACACUGACGCUGAAGCACGAAAGCGUGGGGAGCAAACAGG
rnacentral:rRNA from 1 species